rnacentral:rRNA from 1 species
CCCUUAGAUGUUCUGGGCCGCACGCGCGCUACACUGAUGCAUUCAACGAGCCUAUCCUUGACCGACAGGUCCGGGUAAUCUUUGAAUCUGCAUCGUGACGGGGAUAGAUUAUUGCAAUUAUUAAUCUUCAACGAGGAAUGCCUAGUAGGCGCAAGUCAUCAGCUUGUGCUGAUUACGUCCCUGCCCUUUGUACACACCGCCCGUCGCUCCUACCGAUUUUGAGUGAUCCGGUGAACCUUUUGGACUGCGGUGUCUUCAUGGCACUCGUGGGAAGUUAAGUAAACCUUAUCACUUAGAGGAAGGAGAAGUCGUAACA